GAUGAACGCUAGCGGCAGGCCUAAUACAUGCAAGUCGAACGGUAAGGCCCUUUCGGGGGUACACGAGUGGCGGACGGGUGCGUAACGCGUAUGCAACAUGCCUUCCAGCGGGGGAUAUACCAGGGAAACUUGGCGCAAUACCCCAUAGAAUUACGGGACCGCAUGGUCUUGUGAUUAAAACUCCGGUGCUGGGAGAUUGGCAUGCGUGACAUUAGCUUGUUGGUGAGGUAACGGCUCACCAAGGCUCUGAUCAAUAGCCGACCUGAGAGGGUGACCGGCCACACUGGGAUUGGGAUACGGCCCAGACUCCUACGGGGGGCAGCAGUCUAGAAGCAUCGACAAUGGGGGCAACCCUGAUCGUGCGACGCCGCGUGCAGGACGAAGGUCUUCGGAUCGUAAACUGCUUUCGCAAGGGAAGAAAGGCGAACUGAUUAAGAGUUGGUUUGUCAGACGGUACCUUGUAAAGAAGCUCCGGCUAAGUCCGUGCCAGCAGCCGCGGUAAAGUCG
rnacentral:rRNA from 1 species